rfam:Xanthomonadaceae bacterium SCN 69-320 ABS97_C0019, whole genome shotgun sequence.
AUUUCUGGCGGCGGUGUGCGGGGAGCCGCAAGGCUCGCCGGUGCUGGUGGCCGGUCCGCUAACCCGCACACCGUUCGCCACCCUC